UACGUAGGGGGCAAGCGUUGUCCGGAUUUAUUGGGCGUAAAGAGCGUGUAGGCGGCCAUGUAGGUCCGUUGUGAAACUCGAGCUCAACCUCGAGACGCCGGUGGAAACUGCAAAGCUAGAGUCCGGAAGAGGAGAGUGGAAUUCCUGGUGUAGCGGUGAAAUGCGUAGAGAUCGGAAGAACACCAACGGCGAAGCACUCUGCUGGCCGACACUGACACUGAGAGACGAAGCUAGGGAGCGAAUGG
rnacentral:rRNA from 1 species